CCUACGGGAGGCAGCAGUAGGGAAUCUUCCGCAAUGGACGAAAGUCUGACGGAGCAACGCCGCGUGAACGAUGAAGGCCUUCGGGUCGUAAAGUUCUGUUGUUAGGGAAGAACAAGUGCUAGUUGAAUAAGCUGGCACCUUGACGGUACCUAACCAGAAAGCCACGGCUAACUACGUGCCAGCAGCCGCGGUAAUACGUAGGUGGCAAGCGUUGUCCGGAAUUAUUGGGCGUAAAGCGCGCGCAGGCGGUUUCUUAAGUCUGAUGUGAAAGCCCCCGGCUCAACCGGGGAGGGUCAUUGGAAACUGGGAAACUUGAGUGCAGAAGAGGAAAGUGGAAUUCCAAGUGUAGCGGUGAAAUGCGUAGAGAUUUGGAGGAACACCAGUGGCGAAGGCGACUUUCUGGUCUGUAACUGACGCUGAGGCGCGAAAGCGUGGGGAGCAAACAGGAUUAGAUACCCUGGUAGUCCACGCUGUAAACGAUGAGUGCUAAGUGUUAGAGGGUUUCCGCCCUUUAGUGCUGAAGUUAACGCAUUAAGCAUCCGCCUGGGGAUACGGUCGCAAGACUGAAACUUAAANGAAUUGACCGGNNGAGAGNGCGAGACGACGACGAGGAGAG
rnacentral:rRNA from 1 species